rnacentral:misc_RNA from 1 species
GAUGAAGAACGCAGCGAAAUGCGAUAAGUAAUGUGAAUUGCAGAAUUCAGUGAAUCAUCGAAUCUUUGAACGCACAUUGCGCCCGCCAGUAUUCUGGCGGGCAUGCCUGUCUGAGCGUCAUUUCAACCCUCAUGCCCCUAGGGCGUGGUGUUGGGGAUCGGCCAGCGCCCGCGAGGGACGGCCGGCCCCUAAAUCUAGUGGCGGACCCGUCGUGGCCUCCCCUGCGAAGUAGUGAUAUUCCGCAUAGGAGAGCGACGAGCCCCUGCCGUUAAACCCCCAACUUUCUAAGGUUGACCUCAGAUCAGGUAGGAAUACCCGCUGAACUUAAGCAUAUCAAUAAGCGGAGGA